GAUUGACAGGUCCUAUGGAGAGGCAGCAGAGACGCUGCUCUCCUCGUUUGAAUUAAUUCUGAUAUGAUAACUGUUGGUUUAUUUAUCGGUGCAGCAGCAGAACAUUUUCCACAGACAGUUUUCCUGCCCGUUGGCUUGUUUUAACCAGUUUUCUAUCUUCGGCUGAUUCUACCAGCAGACACUGAAAGGACUCUGAUAGUUCGAGUGAAAGUAGCAGUUCCUCCUGAAGGUCAGAGAUUGCAGCAUCUGAGGGCCUCUUCAAAAGAAGACGUAGUUGAUGAAGGCGUUCUGGAGCAGGACCAGAAAGACCACGACCAAGCAGCCUUGAGAUCUUAGGCAGUGUCUCCCUCAGGUCCCUCUCUAUCUCCCCACACAGCCACCAACCACUGGAACACAUCUCCAAAGUUCUGCCAGGCCAGCUCAGCUUCCCCUCAGAAGAAGUGGCGCCACCUGCCAGAUGAAGGAGCCUUUUGAGAGGCAGCUGGCAUCGUGAUUGGACUGUACUUUGGUCUGUUCCAAUCCAGCUUCAGCUCCAGAGACGGCAGGCGGGACGAGUCAACGGAGGCCGGGUGGAUGAAGGCAUGCAGCUGAGUACAAUCCAGAAAACAACAGAGGAGGAGUGCAGCAGCCCAGAGCCAGAACAGAGUAGCAUCGUAUGUCUCUUAGAAAACAUCAUAGUAUAGCCUUUGGGAUGAAAAAACGCCAUCAUAUACAUCGUAUAUUGUACAAAUAACAAG